rnacentral:rRNA from 1 species
GACGAACGCUGGCGGCGUGCUUAACACAUGCAAGUCGAACGAUGAAGCCGGAGCUUGCUCUGGUGAAUUAGUGGCGAACGGGUGAGUAACACGUGAGUAACCUGCCCUUGACUCUGGGAUAACUGCGGGAAACUGUAGCUAAUACCGGAUACGACCCUCGGAGGCAUCUCCUGGGGGUGGAAAGAAUUUCGGUCAAGGAUGGCCUCGCGGCCUAUCAGCUAGUUGGUGAGGUAAAGGCUCACCAAGGCGACGACGGGUAGCCGGCCUGAGAGGGUGACCGGCCACACGGGGACGGGGACACGGCCCAGACUCCUACGGGAGGGAGCAGUGGGGAAUAUUGCAGAAUGGGCGCAAGCCUAAGGCAGCAACGCCGCGUGAGGAAUGACGGCCUUCGGGUUGUAAACCUCUUUUAGCAGGGAAGAAGCGAAAGUGACGGUACCUGCAGAAAAAGCACCGGCUAACUACGUGCCAGCAGCCGCCGUAA